CUCACACACUCACUCAAGCCCUGGUUGCCCCCCCCCCCACAGACGCUGCGCGUGAGGCUGCCGGUGCCGGGCUCGUCGCUGCGCCUCUCCUACCGCAGUGACGGCGCCCCGGCGCGCCGCUCGCUGCUUCGGCUGCUGCUGACGCCGCCGGUGCCGCCGCCGCGCCUCGCCGCCGUGCGGCUCCUCCUGGCGGUGGAGGGGCGGCUGCUGGAGCGGCGCUUCCCGCCGGCGCCUCGCCUCGCCCACACCCUGGCCUGGGACCGAACCGACGCCUACGGCUCGCGGGUCUACGGCACCGCACACGCCGUCGUGUGGGUGGGCUAUGAGUACGCGGGCUGUGCCGAGCUGGUGCUGUGGGAGCGCCGUGCGGUGGAGCUGCCGGCGUUCCCCCUGGAGCCGUCCGGGAUCGCCGGGUGGAGCCUGGAGCCGCACCACGCCCUGGACGUGCCCAGCGGCAUCCUUCACCGUGGCGACGGCUCCUCGCUGUCCCUGCGCUCGCGCCCGCCGCUCAUCUCCACGCUCGUCGGCACCGGCCGCCGCCGGCCCCUCUCGU